rnacentral:rRNA from 1 species
AUGCGAGUCGAGAGGGGUUAAGCCCUCGGCGAACUGCUCAGUAACACGUGGGUAAUCUACCCUCAGGACAGGGAUAACCCCGGGAAACUGGGGAUAAUACCUGAUAGGUGAAGAUGUCUGGAACGAUUCUUCGCUCAAAGCUCCGGCGCCUGAGGAUGAGCCUGCGACCGAUUAGGUUGUUGGCGGUGUAACGGACCACCAAGCCUAAGAUCGGUACGGGUGUUGAGAGACAGAGCCCGGAGAUGGGGACUGAGACACGGCCCCAGGCCCUACGGGGCGCAGCAGGCGCGAAAACUCCGCAAUACACGAAAGUGUGACGGGGGAACCCCAAGUGCAUUCACAUUAGUGAGUGCUUUUGUGAAGUGUAAAUAGCUUUACGAAUAAAAGCGGGGUAAGACCGGUGCCAGCCGCCGCGGUAACACCGGCCGCUUGAGUGGUGAUCACUAUUAUUGGGCCUAAAGCGUCCGUAGCCGGUUUGGUAAGUCCUUGGGCAAAUCCUGUCGCCUAACGGCAGGAAUUCUAGGGAUACUGCUAGACUUGAGGUCGAGAGAGGUCGGAGGUACUCCUGGGGUAGCGGUGAAAUGCUAUAAUCCUGGGGGGACCACCAGUGGCGAAAGCGUCCGACCAGAGCGAGCCUGACGGUAAGGGACGAAAGCCAGGGGAGCGAACGGGAUUAGAUACCCCGGGUAGUCCUGCCGUAAACGCUGUGGGCUAGGUGUUGCAUG